rfam:Rattus norvegicus chromosome 2, whole genome shotgun sequence.
GGGGAUUUGGCUCAGUGGUAGAGCGUUUGCCUAGCAAGCGCAAGGCCCUGGGUUCGGUCCCCAGCUCCG